AUACCACAGGCUCAAUUGGUAGCGCAUGGCGCUUGCAACGCCAGGGUUGAGGGUUCGAUUCCCAUGUGGGACC
rnacentral:tRNA from 1 species